rnacentral:rRNA from 1 species
GCAGCCUGAUGCAGCAACGCCGCGUGAGGGACGACGGCCUUCGGGUUGUAAACCUCUUUUAGCAGGGAAGAAGCGAAAGUGACGGUACCUGCAGAAAAAGCGCCGGCUAACUACGUGCCAGCAGCCGCGGUAAUACGUAGGGCGCAAGCGUUAUCCGGAAUUAUUGGGCGUAAAGAGCUCGUAGGCGGUUUGUCGCGUCUGCUGUGAAAUCCGGAGGCUCAACCUCCGGCCUGCAGUGGGUACGGGCAGACUAGAGUGCGGUAGGGGAGAUUGGAAUUCCUGGUGUAGCGGUGGAAUGCGCAGAUAUCAGGAGGAACACCGAUGGCGAAGGCAGAUCUCUGGGCCGUAACUGACGCUGAGGAGCGAAAGGGUGGGGAGCAAACAGGCUUAGAUACCCUGGUAGUCCACCCCGUAAACGUUGGGAACUAGUUGUGGGGUCCAUUCCACGGAUUCCGUGACGCAGCUAACGCAUUAAGUUCCCCGCCUGGGGAGUACGGCCGCAAGGCUAAAACUCAAAGGAAUUGACGGGGACCCGCACAAGCGGCGGAGCAUGCGGAUUAAUUCGAUGCAACGCGAAGAACCUUACCAAGGCUUGACAUAUACGAGAACGGGCCAGAAAUGGUCAACUCUUUGGACACUCGUAAACAGGUGGUGCAUGGUUGUCGUCAGCUCGUGUCGUGAGAUGUUGGGUUAAGUCCCGCAACGAGCGCAACCCUCGUUCUAUGUUGCCAGCACGUAAUGGUGGGAACUCAUGGGAUACUGCCGGGGUCAACUCGGAGGAAGGUGGGGAUGACGUCAAAUCAUCAUGCCCCUUAUGUCUUGGGCUUCACGCAUGCUACAAUGGCCGGUACAAAGGGCUGCAAUACCGCGAGGUGGAGCGAAUCCCAAAAAGCCGGUCCCAGUUCGGAUUGAGGUCUGCAACUCGACCUCAUG